AUUGAACGCUGGCGGCAGGCCUAACACAUGCAAGUCGAACGAGUGGCGGACGGGUGAGUAAUGUCUGGGAAACUGCCUGAUGGAGGGGGAUAACUAAUGGAACAGGUAGCUAAUACCGCAUAACAUCAGAUGUGCCCAGAUGGGAUUAGCUAGUUGGUGGGGUAACGGCUCACCAAGGCGAAGCGCCCUAGCUGGUCUGAGAGGAUGACCAGCCACACUGGAACUGAGACACGGGCCAGACUCCUACGGGAGGCAGCAGUAGGGAAUAUUGCACAAUGGGCGCAAGCCUGAUGCAGCCAUGCCGCGUGUAGGAAGAAGGCCUUCGGGUUGUAAAGUACUUUCAGCAGGGAGGCGUUACCCGCAGAAGAAGCACCGGCUAACUCCGUGCCAGCAGCCGCGGUAAUUC
rnacentral:rRNA from 1 species